rnacentral:rRNA from 1 species
UUCCUACGGGAGGCAGCAGUGGGGAAUUUUGGACAAUGGGCGAAAGCCUGAUCCAGCAAUGCCGCGUGUGUGAAGAAGGCCUUCGGGUUGUAAAGCACUUUUGUCCGGAAAGAAAUCCUUGGCUCUAAUACAGUCGGGGGAUGACGGUACCGGAAGAAUAAGCACCGGCUAACUACGUGCCAGCAGCCGCGGUAAUACGUAGGGUGCGAGCGUUAAUCGGAAUUACUGGGCGUAAAGCGUGCGCAGGCGGUUUGCUAAGACCGAUGUGAAAUCCCCGGGCUCAACCUGGGAACUGCAUUGGUGACUGGCAGGCUAGAGUAUGGCAGAGGGGGGUAGAAUUCCACGUGUAGCAGUGAAAUGCGUAGAGAUGUGGAGGAAUACCGAUGGCGAAGGCAGCCCCCUGGGCCAAUACUGACGCUCAUGCAC